GGGAUUUUACACGGGGGAGAAAAAGAAAGAAAACCCUAAAAAACCUAAACCCACUCUGCAGCCGCCACCCUCUGGGAAAAAACCAAAAAAAGAAGUCGUCGCCCCUGUUCCCCUGAUUUUUCUUGCUCCCAGCACAAAAGCAGCCCCCCCUUUACCCCCAUCUUCUUCUCCCUCAACCGACAGACCUUCCCCCCCAAAACCAUCCCCAUAGACUACCCAAACGAGCCUUCUCCAUCCUCAUCGAUCUGCCAUCCUCCAGCUCACAGAACCAGAGCCCUCAUUUCCAUCUUCUCCGAAAACUAGAGUAGCCAGCCGCUCACUCCCUCUCUGUCAAAAACAGAGACCGGCCACCCCUUUACUCGAAAAAAACAGAGAUCGUCCCUAGUCUCUUGAUCGGCCUUUUUUUUUCCUUCUGCCAUUUUUGGCACGCUCUCUCUCUCCAAGCUACAGCUCGCCCAGACCGAAUCGGAGCCUCCAGUAGCAGCCCGAGCACGACGGCACCCACAAAGUCAGAUCAGUCGGCCCAUUCCAGCUUCCCCCGACACCACUGAAACCACCGGCCAGACUGCCCCUUUGCACACCACAGAUAUACCCAUCUUCGGCCUCCCGCAACAGCUCCUCCCCCAGCAGCGCAACCCGCUGCUCCGACCUCCAGCACUCCUCCUUGUCGCCAGUACAUGGAACAGAGGAGAAAAUGAUGAAAACAAACAAACCGAUCUGCAGCAAAGCAGAUAAAAAACAGACCCAAGAACAGAUCCAGAAGAGGAAAAGAAAAUUAAAAUCGACUAUUUGUUGUGUUUCUUCUUUUGCAGAUAAUGGUGGUUGUCACUGCCAGCGAGGAAAGUGAAGAGGGGAGGAAGCUGUUGUUGGUCUUUUUGCGACGGUGCAUGGACCCAUGCGCCGCUAGUGGCGGUGGCGCAUGGGAAAAACGCGUUGCCACUGCUUCCACAAUUCCUGAGGGCCUCCUCUGCAGUUCCUGGGCUCUUUAGGGACCUUUUUGUAAUUUUUACAUAUUUGAAUAUGUAUUUAAAUGGUUGUUAAAUGUUUUUAGUUUAUGUUAUGUUGUAAACAAUUGUGACAGAAAAACAUAGUAAAAAGUGACGUGGAAGUGUGUGUUUGUAUUUUUAUUUAUUUAUGUUAUUAAAUUAUAAAAA
rnacentral:lncRNA from 1 species